rnacentral:rRNA from 1 species
UGGGGAAUAUUGCACAAUGGGCGCAAGCCUGAUGCAGCCAUGCCGCGUGUAUGAAGAAGGCCCUUCGGGAUUGUAAAAGUACUUUCAGCGGGGAGGAAGGCGAUAAGGUUAAUAACCUUGUCGAUUGACGUUACCCGCAGAAGAAGCACCGGCUAACUCCGUGCCAGCAGCCGCGGUAAUACGGAGGGUGCAAGCGUUAAUCGGAAUUACUGGGCGUAAAGCGCACGCAGGCGGUCUGUCAAGUCGGAUGUGAAAUCCCCGGGCUCAACCUGGGAACUGCAUUCGAAACUGGCAGGCUGGAGUCUUGUAGAGGGGGGUAGAAUUCCAGGUGUAGCGGUGAAAUGCGUAGAGAUCUGGAGGAAUACCGGUGGCGAAGGCGGCCCCCUGGACAAAAGACUGACGCUCAGGUGCGAAAGCGUGGGGAGCAAACA